rnacentral:SRP_RNA from 1 species
GCCAGGCAUGGUGGUGCAUGCCUGUGGUCCCAGCUCCUCAGGAGGUUGAGGUGGGAGGAUUGCUUGAGCCCAGGAAGGUGUGACUGCAGUGAGUCAUGAUCGUGCCACUGCACUCCUGCCUGGGCAACAGAGUGAGACCCUGUCUCAA